CCCAACCUUCCUGCCUAGUCUGCUGGCCCAAGAGAGAUGGGGAAUCAAAAUUAGCUUCCUUCUCUAUCUACCUAUUGGAAAAUUGUGAGCAGGUUAAACUUCACAACAGUAAAAAAGAAGGCAAUAAACUUUUUUUGCUGAGGACUCAACAUUCUAUGUUGCUAUGAUGACAACACUACAUUCAUUUUGAACAAUGCCCAAAUUCAAAUAUUUCUCUCAGAACCACCCUCACAGACACCCAACACCAAACUUCAAAGGCGCUCUUUUUAAACGUACACCUGAGGACAAGAGCAAUGCAGAGCCCAGAAGUCUGGCAUACAAACUUAACUUCAGUGGAUGAUGAGCCUGACCAUCCUGGGGUCAAACCAGAGUGCUCUAUCUGUUUCAACGCUUAUGACAAUGUCUCCAAGACACCCAAGAUGCUGGACUGCACCCACACAUUUUGCCUGGAAUGUGUCUCUCGGGUCAUGGCUGCGUCUAUGGAACAGGAGGGGGUUCAGAUUCUCUGUCCUCUCUGCAGGUAUCCCACAUCUAUUCCUGAGAGGGGCCCACAGGCCCUACUUACCAGCCAGGAGGUAUUGACCAGGCUGCCCAGCCACCAGCAGCAGGACGUGAGGGUGUGGAUAGAAUGGAAGAAUAUGUGCUGCACAAACCAUCCCAGUGACCCCUUGACCUGUAUUUGUAUAGAAACUGGAAUAAUCAGUCAGAUCUGCUCCUUUGUUACUAGCAGGAUGUUUUUAUUAAUGAUGAUGCUUCUGCUUAUGUAUAUUUUUCCCUCGGUGCUCUGUCACACCGGCAUUCUCAACUGUCGUAGACACAACAUGACUGCCAUUUAAAAGUCCUCCACAAACACCCUUUACCCUGCCACACUGCCAUAGUUAGUAAUCGCUUCAAAUAAAAGAUGACAAAUC